UUUCUGACUUUCUGAACAUGGACAUCAUCAAACAUGGUCUCGUCAGCUUGUUUCUAUUUCUGCUCUGGAUAAAAGGUCUAAUUGAUGGAAGUGGUGUCACCCAGACUGACAUACUGUGGAAAGACGAGGGUGACGAUGCAACGAUACACUGCAGCCACACCAAAGGUUUGCAGUACAGCCAGAUGUACUGGUACAGACAGCGGCAAGGAGAAACAAUGAAACUGAUCGUGUUCACAACAUAUGGCAAAGAAAAUCAUGACUUUGGAGAUUUUGACAAAGGGAAAUUUUCAGCCACCAAGCCUGACCUUGUGAGUGGGACAUUCACAGUGAAGAAUCUGCAGACAGAAGACAAAGGCUUGUAUUUCUGUGCUGUCAGUCAGCCCCACAGUGGCACAGUUAACUUGCAAGGCUGAACAAAAACCCCAGUACUGGGCUUUCUCUAAAUGUUGUGUAAUUACCCGACCACAUAGUUAUCACUGAAACUGCAUUACAACACAAAGAAGUUAAGAUUGUUUCACACUGUAAAAAUUCAGUUUUUGAGAUCUUUUGUUUUUAACGAGUUUCUGUUCUACCAAAUUUGGCUGUUUUGAUAAUAAACUAGCAUAUGGAUAUACCAUUGUUAUUUAGAUUUUUUAAAGAUUUUGUAACACACAGGCAUUUAUGGACCCUUAUGAGCUGAUAAGGGAAUAAUGAACAUAUUAAUCAAAAUUACUUAAAAGUAGGGCUGUCCCGAAUGCCAUUCUUUGUGCUUUGAAGAUUCGUUCGGGCUGUCA